AGAAACUUAGGAUAACUAAACCGAAGGCCUUCAAAGCCUUAAACAAGAGUUAAACCCUCUUAGUUUCUG
rnacentral:tRNA from 2 species